UACGUAGGUGGCAAGCGUUGUCCGGAUUUACUGGGUGUAAAGGGCGUGUAGCCGGGCUGACAAGUCAGAUGUGAAAUCCCGUGGCUCAACCACGGAACUGCAUUUGAAACUGUCGGUCUUGAGUAUCGGAGAGGCAGGCGGAAUUCCUGGUGUAGCGGUGAAAUGCUUAGAUAUCAGGAGGAACAUCGGUGGCGUAAGCGCUUUACUGGGCCGUAAUUGACGCUGAGGAACGAAAGCCAGGGUAGCAAAUGGG
rnacentral:rRNA from 1 species